GAUGAACGCUGGCGGCGUGCCUAAUACAUGCAAGUCGAGCGAACGGACGAGAAGCUUGCUUCUCUGAUGUUAGCGGCGGACGGGUGAGUAAAACGUGGAUAACCUACCUAUAAGACUGGGAUAACUUCGGGAAACCGGAGCUAAUACCGGAUAAUAUUUUGAACCGCAUGGUUCAAAAGUGAAAGACGGUCUUGCUGUCACUUAUAGAUGGAUCCGCGCUGCAUUAGCUAGUUGGUAAGGUAACGGCUUACCAAGGCAACGAUGCAUAGCCGACCUGAGAGGGUGAUCGGCCACACUGGAACUGAGACACGGUCCAGACUCCUACGGGAGGCAGCAGUAGGGAAUCUUCCGCGAGGGGCGAAAGCCUGACGGAGCAACGCCGCGUGAGUGAUGAAGGUCUUCGGAUCGUAAAACUCUGUUAUUAGGGAAGAACAUAUGUGUAAGUAACUGUGCACAUCUUGACGGUACCUAAUCAGAAAGCCACGGCUAACUACGUG
rnacentral:rRNA from 1 species